CGAGUCCGUCGCCGCACGGAAAACCGAGAGGGGAAAAAAAACCGAUCGCGCGAUGCGCAGCGGAUUCGUGCGUGGAGCGCGCUUGCUUGACGCGACGAGUAGUGUUGGCGCGCGCCUCGCGAUCGUUUCGCGUUUUCCCUCGUUCGCGGCCGCGGCCGCAUCGGUGGUGUGUGUACACGUCCGAAAUGCUACGACGACCACGGCAGGGACUGCGUGACAUGUUUGCAUUUUCCCACCACGAUCAACAGCAUCGUCAAGACGCAUAUCGCGUAUACAUCACUUGAUACUGCUACCAACUCGGAAGUGCCGUUUGUAAAUCGCUCAUCAUGAAAUUAAAACAACGAAGACAAGUGCUCAGUUUAAAAUUUUCGCUGGAUUUAACUGGAAAAAAAAAUAAAAUAAAGAAAGACAAAACAAGUUUUAUUCAUUGACCAACAAGAAGCCUUAUAAUAUUGUUACCAGACACCGGUGGUACGAGACCGUAAGCCACCAGCUAUCGGGUUUCGACAGUCGUCUUGCAUUACCAUGCGUUCCCAUCAACCCUGAGGAAAUCAUACUCGCACACGGAAACAAACGACUACUAUGCAGUGUUGUACCUUUUCUCUCUAUACCUCAUUUAGGUACAACAAAGAAAACCAUUCUGCGUAUAUAAGUUAAAGGAUUCAGAAGGAUACUCGUAGUAUUUGUAAGACUCUCUUGUACACAUAUUAACUUAGCAGGAAAACGUAUCCCUAAUGCGAGUACUGGUUUCGUAUUGGUGGGUAGAGUUAUAUACUGUCUAGCACCAUUUGAAACCAGUACUUAUUGACGGGAUGUCUUCCAGAAGUAUAAAUUAUAAUAUGAAUAUUAUAAAUUAAUUUGUAGUAUCAAUUAUGAUUAAUUGUAAGUUUUUUUU